CUCUCUGCGUUAUUAUAAGGUGUGUUAAGUAGUACUAUUCCUAUCAGUUUAAUCCCUGUUACGUCCCCUAUCAGGGGACGUGUAUAUGGCAUUGAUUUUAGGACCCGGAAGAUGGAAAAAGAUGCUUGGUCAGUCCUCCUACUUCAAAUUUGGGGCACUGUGCGUGCAAUCUAAUGUGCCACCAGAUAGGAGUG
rnacentral:snRNA from 1 species